rnacentral:piRNA from 1 species
UGCUUCCUGACCUUGACCUUUUGUCACUGC